rnacentral:rRNA from 1 species
UACGUAGGUGGCAAGCGUUGUCCGGAUUUACUGGGCGUAAAGAGCUCGUAGGCGGUGUGUCACGUCGGCCGUGAAAACCUGCAGCUUAACUGUGGGCGUGCGGUCGAUACGGGCAUCACUGGAGUUCGGCAGGGGAGACUGGAAUUCCUGGUGUAGCGGUGAAAUGCGCAGAUAUCAGGAGGAACACCGGUGGCGAAGGCGGGACUCUGGGCCGAUACUGACGCUGAGGAGCGAAAGCGUGGGGAGCAAACAGG